rnacentral:lncRNA from 1 species
UAGUUUUCAUUGUGGUUAAACUUAUAAAUGUAAAAAUAAUAACUUAUAUUAAAUCAUUGCACUUCAUCAUAGAUCAUCUAACUCCAGCUUACCCAUCAAGAUAUGGCGUCCUGUCGAAUUUAGAAAAUAGAAUAACUGAUUUCUGAAAUUUAUGACAAAGGCAUACAUCUAUAGAAAAUCUAAUUAAUAAUAUUGAUAUAUAGGAAAUCUUUAACGGUUGACCAAAAUAGACACCAAUUUUCGAAUGCACGUAGCAUUAUGUGUUAGUAAUAAGUCUUGUUCGGUCACAAGUUGAAUAUUCUUAUAUAUUUGAAUUAUUCAAUUAGUUGUUUCUUUCAUUACAUUUACCAUGGGCUUAUUAAUGGAAAUAAAGUAUAAAAUAAAAGGAACUAUAUCUGAUUCUACUCAUUUCCAAUUCAUUUUCUUGCAACGUCAUGUCCGGUGUCUUGACAGCAUCAAAUGUUGAUUGACGUCAGAUGAAUGAAAAUUGUUUUUUUUUAAUCGGAAAUCACGAUGAUACAUUGCAGC